AGUGAACGCUGGCGGUAGGCCUAACACAUGCAAGUCGAACGGCAGCACAGUAAGAGCUUGCUCUUACGGGUGGCGAGUGGCGGACGGGUGAGGAAUACAUCGGAAUCUACUUUUUCGUGGGGGAUAACGUAGGGAAACUUACGCUAAUACCGCAUACGACCUACGGGUGAAAGCAGGGGAUCUUCGGACCUUGCGCGAUUGAAUGAGCCGAUGUCGGAUUAGCUAGUUGGCGGGGUAAAGGCCCACCAAGGCGACGACCCGUAGCUGGUCUGAGAGGAUGAUCAGCCACAAUGGAACUGAGAAACGGUCCAGACGCCUAAGGGAGGCCGCAGUGGGGAAUAUUGGACAAUGGGCGCAAGCCUGAUCCAGCCAUACCGCGGGGGUGAAGAAGGCCUUCGGGUUGUAAAGCCCUUUUGUUGGGAAAGAAAAGCAGCAGGUUAAUACCCCGCUGUUCUGACGGUACCCAAAGAAUAAGCACCGGCUAACUUCGUG
rnacentral:rRNA from 1 species